rnacentral:rRNA from 1 species
CGCUUAUUGAUAAUAAUUUUAAGUCAAUCUGCCCAAUGAAUAAAUUAAAUGGCUGCAGUAUAAAUAACUGUACAAAGGUAGCAUAAUCAAUUGAUUUUUAAAUGAAAUCUGGAAUAAAAGAAUUAAUGAAAUAUAUACUGUCUCAUAUAUAUAAUAUAAAUUUAAAUUUUUAAUAAAAAUGUUAAAAUUUAUUUAUGGGACGAUAAGACCCUAUAGAAUUUUAUAUUAAUUUAUUUUUAUAAAUAUUAAAUAUAAAAUUUAAAUUAAUAUUUAAUUGGGAGAAUUAUUAAAUUUAAAAAAUUUUAAUUAAAAAAAACUUUAAUUAAAGAAUAUAUUAUGAUCUUUAAAUUAAAAUUAAUAGAAUAAAUUACCUUAGGGAUAACAGCGUUAUAUUUUUUUAUAGAUCACAUAGAAAAAAAUGAUUGCGACCUCGAUGUUGAAUUAAGAUAAAUUUUAAAUGUAGAAAUUUAAUAAUUAAGUCUGUUCGACUUUUAAAAUCUUACAUGAUUUGAGUUCAAAUCGACGUAAGU